UGGAACAGGAGGGAGGGGGGAGGGCUUCAGCACCGCGCAUGCGCUCUGCCCGCUCCGCCGCCGCCGUCGCCGCGGUGGGCGAGGCGACAACAAAGUGCGAGGGCCUGCGUGUGGGGGGAGGGGUUGGGCUGCCCUCGGUGGGGCAGCUUCCCUCUCCGCUUCCUAGGAGUCCCCCAGGGCCCACCUCGCCUGAGGGGUACGCGGCUUCUCGCUGCUGGGGAGGGGGACGUUUCUCCCCGCUCUCUCCCGCCAUUUUCUCGCUCCCCGCCUCUCCCUCAGCCGCCGGGACAGCCCUUGGAAGCGGCUGUGAGGGAUCCCCUCAGUGCGGGCCCCGUGUCCCAGUGGGACCGCAACAGAGAGAGGAACGCAACUUCUGAGGCUCCCACCCGUGUUGGAGCGGAUCUGCUGCCAGGGGGUAGUACCACGGCCUCUGCUCGGCGACUAAAUAAAGCUUUAAACCGACGUGGAAGGGUCAGUGUUAGACGAUAUUCUGCCCAAUUCAGUCAAGCCGUGCAGCAGUUACACGUGCCACCGACCCACUGAGCACCAUAAGUGCCAUCUGGGUCUGUGUGGAAGGGAGUGCAUCACCUCUGUGUCACUUUGUUCCACAGAUCUGUACACACCACCUUGUUCUACAGAUCCAUGACCCAGUCUCAGGUCAACACCAGAUCCCAGCAUCAAGCCUGCUGACAACUUUUUAAAUGAAUAGGAGCAAAGAUGCACAUGGGGUAAGACAAUGGUAACAAACCAGAGGAACAGACCAGGCAUGAUCGUAAAGAGUUGACUUAAGUCAUACUGAUCAUCCCCCUGAAAUCAGAAGCUCAGUACACAUUUUUUAUCUGGAGGCAAAGAGGUAAGGUCAAUUCCAUUCUUUAUCCGAUUUCUUGUUAUUAUAAAUAUCACAUUUAGGCUAUUUUGUGCCACUUCUCAUAUGUCACAUACUCUACAGUGGUUGGUAAAGUAAAUGAGCUACUUUUUGGAAGCAAGAUUACUCACUGGAGAUUUUG